rnacentral:lncRNA from 1 species
CUUCUUUCAACUCGAUGAGAGGAGGACUCCUCCUGGGCCUGGUGCUUCGAGGUCCAGACGAGCAGACACUGGCGCCUGUGACCCUGCAGCGGACGCCCUUCAAAGUCCGUGUGGCCGCAUUUGGAAGCCUGGGCGGCGUGGAGACGGCGCCUUCAGCUUGAGAUAGAAUGUGGCCCCGUCCCAGAGCACCACCCGAGACAUCAGGAGCCCAUCGUGGGCUAGGGAAGAUCCUCCGGGACCUAACGGCCCAGGGUCUUCCACCCUUGGCCACCUCCCCAGGUGAUGCCUGAAGCUCAAGGGACUGUGUCCACCCUCAGGGCCCUGCCCGUGGCUCUGGAUCGGCGGUCCCCAUCAGAGGCCUGGGCUGAGUCCUCAGGGUCAAGAAGUGGCGCUGACCUGGAGCCCCUGCCUGGGGCUGGCCUUCCUCACAGUGAGCUGGGCCUCCUGCCAUCCUGGCUCUGGAGGGGCGUCUGAGUGGAAGAGGCUCAGCCUCACCUCCACACCCUGAAGACUCACUCUCUGGCCCUGGGCUCUGUUGUGUGCACCGCCUGUCUGCAGGGCCCAGCCUGCCUCGAGCACUCCCUGGGGACAGAAGCUCCUGCGCUGGCCUCUCCUGUCACCUAGCCACCGGGCAUCCUGGAGUGCAGCCCUCAUGCCCCGAGGCCACCUGCCAUCGCCCAGGAUGACUCAAGAUGCCACCUGGGUAAGUCUAGCCCAGAACGAGAAAGGCCGAAUGAGGGAAACUGAGUCACAUCUGCUUCUCCCAGGUGGGGCUGGGGGCCCAGGGGGAGGGCACUUGUGGUGACGACCAGGGUGGACUAGGGGCCUGUCUCCCAUUCUGUCUCUGCCACACGUUAUAGAGCCCGACCUGUGGGCUGGGUCCCCCCAUGGUGAGCACUGUAGGCUCUAGGAGGCUGAAGUCCUGGCCUGGGGGACCUGUGGGGGCCAGGCUGGGGCCAUUGGAAUCAGUAUGGUGGUCCCCACCUGCACUCCAGCUCCGAUGGCUGAUGACGGGGGCCCUGGCAGCUGACCCCUUGCCUCAGUGGGGAGACCACGGCUCACGAGGGCAUGAGACCUGCCCAGAGCAUAGCCCAGAGGCCGGCCUGGAUUCUCACAGCUCCGCCCACUGGGCUGUCCUGCCCCACCCCCUUUUUAGCCUGCUGGGACCAUGAGUCAGAACCCAGUAGGUGUGAGGGGACCCAGCCAGCCCAGGUGGCCAGUCCAGCCUGAGGGGGUGGGGGUCUCAGAGAUUAAGUCAGGAGCCCAGAGUGCGUGCUUAGGGUGCAACCCACCCCACAGCCUCCCCCAAGGCACCUCCCGGGGGUGCAGAUGGGGGCAGACGCAGGGACACUCAGGGUGGACCACCUGACUGGGAGCUGAUCAUGAGGUGUGCGACAGCCUGAGUCAGCCUCAGCUCAGAGGAGCUGGGAUGGCCUUGAUCUUCCCCCUCCGGCCACUCACCACAGCUGGGAGGGUCCAAGGAGACCCUCAGCCACUGUCCCUUCAGCCCUCACCCCACCCUGGCUGGCUCUGCCCGGACAGUCCUUAGGGACAUCUUGGUCCUGCCCACCAGCCAGGGGACCCAGAAUUGGAGCAGGGGAGCAGGACCCCCAGACCCUCUCAUACCGCUUUUGUUCUGAGGCCUUGAGGGAACACGGGGUCUUCGCGACCCCAGGCGAGAUGAUGCUGGGACAGAGGAGGGUCGGGCUGCAUCGGGGCCCUCCUGGUCCCCACUCCUGGGUGAGUCAGCAUCUCAGUCUCCAGUUCUGGGUGGGCGGCACCAGGUGUGAGCCUCAGCGGUCUCCUUGCUGGCUAAGGACCUGGGAUUUGCUCCAGUGCCCCUCGGGAGGGAGUAGGACACGUGCCCAGAGAGCAAGCAGACCCCCUCCCCGACCAACUUCUGAGAGCAAAGACACCUAGAGCUAGAGAUUCAGCACCCCCUGAGCCUCAGUUUCUCCACUAUGAAGUGGGAUCCGUGAUCUCAGCCUUACCAGGGCUGUGAGGAUUAAAUGGUCCAGCCCAGCCUGGGGCCUGCCUGGAGUAGGCAGCCUGCUCAGGAUGGGCUGUGGAAGGAGGGCUGGGGUAGACCUUUCAAGUCCACUUGGGCAUGGGGAGCUGAGAGCUAGCAUGCCGUUUAACUUGGCAGGAAGCAGGCCGGGCGCAGUGGCUCAUGCCUGUAAUCCCAGCACUUUGGGAGGCUGAGGCGGGCGGAUCACGAGGUCAGGAGAUCAACACCAUCCUGGCUAACACGGUGAAACCCCCUGUCUACUAAAAAUACAAAAAAUCAGCCGGGCGUAGUGGCGGGCGCCUGUAGUCCCAGCUACUCGGGAGGCUGAGGCAGGAGAAUGGCGUGAACCCAGGAGGCGGAGCUUGCAGUGAGCCGAGAUCGCGCCACUGCACUCCAGCCUGGGGGACAGAGUGAGACUCCAUCUCAAAAAAAAAAAAAAAAAAAAAAAAAAAAGCUUGGCAGGGAGCAGGACAUUUGGACCUCACUCUGCUGCCCCCUUGGCUGUGUGACAUCCAGGUCACGUUGCCUCUCUGGGCCUCGGUCUCCUCACCUGUUUAAGAGGGGUUGACAGUCGUAUCUGCCCCCUCAGCUUUUCCCCAGGAAGGUGGUAGCCACAAUUAGCAUUUGUUGAGGCUGACCCUGCACCAGGCCCAGGAUAGGCGGGGCUUAGGGAGGCCCGUCUCUCGCCACGUUCCCCUGCUAGGGGAGCCCCGAGGCCCUCUCAGUGUCAUCCUCAUGCUACACUCUGUCCCAGCCCUGUGCGUCCCAAGCUAGGGCACUGAGUGUGCCAGCACCCGCAGGGACAGGCACUGGACCCUGGGUGGACCUGAGGGUCUGUGACUACCCCCCCAGCUGCUCUCCCCUAGAGGCCACUUCCCUCAAGGAAGGAAAGAACCUUCCCGCCACCUCCUGCAGUGCGGUCAGCUCAGGCCAGCCUGCACAGCAGGGCCAGAACCAGGGCCCCUGGGGAGGGAUGCCUGCCUGCCCAGUGGGAGGAGACGGCACGCCCGUGAAGCCGCUACUCAGCCAGCCUGGGGGCCACGAGUGCUGCUUCUGGUGGCGCUGUGCGGGGAGGGAGGGGGCCGAGCAGGGUGGGCACUCGCAUGCCUGUGUCUUGCUGGCCUUCGACAGAUGACAGCCCUCCUCCUAGGGUCUCCAGUGCAGAGUUCCUUGGGGACAUUAUGGCCACUCCUGUCCAGAUGAGAGGGAGCCGGCUGCCUGUGACAGCGUCGCAAAAUGCCGCCAGGGCUUUCCCUCCCUCCUCCUUUCUCUCUUCCUCGUCCCUCUCUGGUUGGUGGUUUCCUGCAGGCUCCCGUCCCUGCUGGUGCUGGCCACAAUGUCCCCACUCCCAGGGUUUCGGCGUCCCAGCCCCCUGCGCCCACCGCGCCUGCCCGCCAGAAUCCCUGUGCCCUUGGUGCGUGUGGCCUGCCGAGCCUCGAGCCCCUGUUCUCCUCAGCCCUCUUUCCUCCCGCGUCCCCAGGAGGUGCCUCUGGAAGCCACGGAGUCCCAUCGGCACCAAGACCGACUGCCCUUUGGGGUGAGGUAGUAGGUUGUAUAGUUUGGGGCUCUGCCCUGCUAUGGGAUAACUAUACAAUCUACUGUCUUUCCUGAAGUGGCUGUAAUAUCUGCGGUGGACAGAGCGUCUGGAACCCUGGCUGGGAGCGGGCAGGGCCAGGUUUGGGGGCAGCCUUGGCAGCAGUCGGGGGCAGGGGCCGCCUACACUGAGAAGUCUGACAGGCCUAGGUGCCACUUGCUGUGUGACCUUGGACAGGCCCCUGAUCUCUCUGGGUCUCAGUUUCCUCCUCUGUAAAAUGGAGGCAAAUGAGGAUGGAAGGAGAUGCAGUGUGGAGCAUCGAGGGCAGAGGAGAGCUGAGCCGACCCCACCCUCUGCCCCAGCCGCACUGAGAGAGGCGAUCCACGCAGCUGUUUGUCUGACCUCUGUCUCCCAACACUCCCCAACACUCCCCCCGCCAUCAGGCCCAGGCUCAUGGGUGGCCCUGAGCCGUACCCUCCACUGAGCACCAGGAGAAGGCACCGUGGGGCCAGGGGUGGCCGAGACGUUUGGAGGUCACAGGGCUGCGAGUAUUGGCGUUGCCCAUCACCCCAGGUUCCCAGCACGUGCCCCAGCCUGGCCAGCUCAGUGGCAGGGCCUCUGCCUGUGGAGGAAGGGAGGCCAAGGCACCUUUCCUGAGCAGGAAGUGAGAGGAACAGCUCUGCAUACACUGGGUCCCACAUGGCACAAUCUGAAGGCAGACAGUGGCUCCUCUGUACCUGGGGAAACUGAGGCCCAGAGAGCCAGGGACUUCCCAAGACCAGCCAGCAGCAGCUGCCCCUUCCUGGGGUGCCAUCUCCCCUGUCCCUCCUGCCCUGCGCCUGCCCAGCCCUCCUGCUCUGGUGACUGAGGACCGCCAGGCAGGGGCUGGUGCUGGGCGGGGGGCGGCGGGCCCUCCCGCAGUGCAAGGCCGGGCCUGGCGGGGUGAGGUAGUAGGUUGUGUGGUUUCAGGGCAGUGAUGUUGCCCCUCGGAAGAUAACUAUACAACCUACUGCCUUCCCUGAGGAGCCCAGUGACACGACCCCAUGGGAGGGCCGCCCCCUACCUCAGUGACACGACCCCACGGGAGGGCUGCCCCCCACCUCAGUGACCUGCAGGGGGCCUGAGCCGAAGCUGGGUGGGCAUCUGGGAGCUAGAUUCAAUAAAGCUGUUCUGACCAUGAA